rnacentral:lncRNA from 1 species
GUCAACCUGUAGAGAAAAGAAUGGUGAUCACGGUGAUAUAAAAAUUGCAUCGAACGGAGGCCAGGAAGGGCCUCGUCGGAGGCAAAAACCGAGAGGGGGCGCGGCGGUGCCGCUGGGCUUCGGCCGCGUAUUCCGGCCGUUUGGCCGGGAUUUCGGCUUCGAUUUGGCCAUAGGAGGAAUCAGUGGGGAAAAACGAGUCGGGGGUAUGAAAUUUACCUCGAUCGGCGAUCGGAAAUUUCCCCGGUGCGGCGGCGAGUGGCGGCGGGUGGCGGCGGUCGGCCUCUGGUUCGUCUUCUCCGGCGAGCGGCUGGCGGCUAGGGUUUGUGGUCUGGUGUGGAGGUUCUAUUUAUAACCCCUUGCCUUUUGAUCACAGCCGUUCAUUUUGUUUUAAUCUGGGCCGUUCGUUUUUUAUUGAAUCUGGGCCGUCCGUGCGAUUGAAUCUGGGCCGUCCGAUCGCGUGAUUGAUCUGGGCCGUCGGAUCGCACCCACGCGGAUCGCCAGCGUGGCUCCUUUUGGAGUG